GAGGGGUCAGUAGCCCUUCGUGGACGACUGAGUGGACGAGGGUUGGUUCCGGCUUCUGCCCAGGUUUAAUGGCUCUUCCAGCGACAUCUGCAUUUAUGAGGGGGGAAAGAAAAAGGAUCCCUAACAGAUGGAGAAAGAGGCCCUCUGGGUAGAGAAAGAAAAACUUCCAUUAAAAGAGGACGCCAGUGGUCAAAUGACACGUGUGAGCGGUGGCGAGUUUUGGCAAAAGGGAGGCGCCAGAAAUUCAAGGUGACUUCAUCACUCUUCACAGCAUCCCUGGAGGAAGGUGGCACUGGCUCUGUCCUACAGGAGAAUGAAUUGGUGAUGACUACAAGGACUGUACAAGAAAGAGGUGAAGAAGAGACUGGAAAACCAACAUGAGAACUUCAUCUUAUAAGACAAUGAAGACAAGGGAACCAGAGCAACGGUCAGCCCGAGGCUUCUUCAGCUGUAGCCUGUGGACCAAAGGCAUCAGAACCAGCUGGGCCCCAGCCAGGAAACGCAGAAUCCUGGGCCCCUCACGAACCCGGCUACGUCAGGACUUGUGUGGGCCACUGGCCCAGAUGCUUGUCCUUGUUCCUCUACCUUGGACUCCUUUACCUCCCAGCUGAGUUGGACAUCCUGUCAGCCCAGGUUCAUUCUCUGUUACCUGCCCCCCCAGGCAACUUUGGGCCAAGUAUUCGACCCAUCACCCGCCUUAAUGGACCCUUGGCCCCUCCUCUACACGUGGACCAGAUCUAGUGAAUGAUGAACAUCUCACGUUCCCCAGGAUCUUUUGUCCAGCAGGUGAUUGCGCUGCAGGCUGUAGCUUGAGCACCGCUGCUGUCUAGUCUGGAGCAUCUCCCUCGUUACUGGCUGGGACGCAAAACCACGUUGCUAUCUGAUCUCAUCACACUUCUGCCAGGAGGUGAAAUCUAGGAGCCCACCUUCUUGAUGCCCAACGUCUUCUUCAGGUCACUUACCUGAGAACACCUGAGGAUACUGAGACAUUGUCACGUUUGAAGGAGACUCCAGGAACUGCUGCAGCCAUCUGCCAGCCUAACAAGGAAACCAACUCAAAGCAGAGAGCAGAGGCCAAGGAAUUUCAGGAAAGCAGAGCCAGGAUAUGUUGUGGAUGGACCCUAAUCUACCCCUGAACUUCUUAUUACGUGAGGUACCCAAGGAGAGCGUCCUUUGUGCCAGGUACUGUGCCAACCAUCCUUGAAGGUUAACUCCUGAUCAUCCCAUGUGCUAAUGACACCCAACUCUCUGAAGUCCAGACCCCUCUCCCUUCAGAUUCACACUUGGACAUUCACAAGGUCCUGAAAUGAACCUGGGCCUCUUAUAGAACAAGGGCGGAAACCUACCUCCAGUUCCAUCUUUACGUGAGCACCCGCCCUCGACAAUUUAUGGGAUUAUGCUGAAAAAUCAAUCUUUUACAAUUUCACCUAACAUCUGCCAGAGGAAACAAAAGAUUAUUAAAAGGGGACUUAUCAGAGUUCAUCUUCCAACAAAGUGGUUAGUUACCAUUUAAUUUAGCUAACAUUUUUUUGGGAACACUUACUGCAGUGCAGACACUGGUCUAAGUAAGCUUUU